AUCCAUCUGACGAGUCCUAAAUAAAACGAGACGCGCAUCCUGGAU
rnacentral:hammerhead_ribozyme from 1 species